CAUGCUAACAACGACGAUAAGCAUGACCGACCCAGCGACCAAGGAGCCUGGUGGGGUUAUUUUAAAAAUAACUGUUAACUUUUUUUCUAGUAGGUUCAGCAGUCAGGAACAGAUUUGCACCCAUCCUUAGAGACGGAGGGUUUCUGUUUGUUUGCUGCAUGGCUGUGACACUAUUUAAUCUUCCCUGCAAUGACUGGUCAUCAGUUCAAAUGUUGGAAGAUUUUGACCUGGACUGUAUAUUCCUGAAAGAUAGAAUCUUCCCUCUACUACCUUUUUUCCUAUGCUACUUCUGGCCUGCUUGGUGGAGAUGAUGACUCUCCCUGACGAAAAGCAGUAAAUGAAUUGUAAAAGCAGGCACAUGAAGAACAUCAAAGUCCUGUGUUUUGCCUCUUUGAAUCCAAACAAGAAAUCCAGUUAAAAGUUCUGUGAACUGAAAA